rnacentral:rRNA from 1 species
UAGGGAAUCUUCCGCAAUGGGCGAAAGCCUGACGGAGCAACGCCGCGUGAGUGAUGAAGGUCUUCGGAUCGUAAAACUCUGUUAUUAGGGAAGAACAAAUGUGUAAGUAACUAUGCACGUCUUGACGGUACCUAAUCAGAAAGCCACGGCUAACUACGUGCCAGCAGCCGCGGUAAUACGUAGGUGGCAAGCGUUAUCCGGAAUUAUUGGGCGUAAGGCGCGCGUAGGCGGUUUUUUAAGUCUGAUGUGAAAGCCCACGGCUCAACCGUGGAGGGUCAUUGGAAACUGGAAAACUUGAGUGCAGAAGAGGAAAGUGGAAUUCCAUGUGUAGCGGUGAAAUGCGCAGAGAUAUGGAGGAACACCAGUGGCGAAGGCGACUUUCUGGUCUGUAACUGACGCUGAUGUGCGAAAGCGUGGGGAUCAAACAGG